rnacentral:rRNA from 1 species
UACGUAGGGUGCAAGCGUUGUCCGGAAUUAUUGGGCGUAAAGAGCUCGUAGGCGGUCUGUCGCGUCUGCUGUGAAAACUCGGGGCUUAACCCCGGGCCUGCAGUGGGUACGGGCAGACUAGAGUGCGGUAGGGGAGACUGGAAAUUCCUGGUGUAGCGGUGAAAUGCGCAGAUAUCAGGAGGAACACCGGUGGCGAAGGCGGGUCUCUGGGCCGAUACUGACGCUGAGGAGCGAAAGCGUGGGGAGCGAACAGG